UACAGAGGUGGCAAGCGUUGUUCGGAAUUACUGGGCGUAAAGGGCGCGUAGGCGGUUCGUUAAGUCAUGUGUGAAAUCCCCCGGCUCAACUGGGGAACUGCACAGGAAACUGGCGGGCUUGAGUUCGGGAGAGGGAAGCGGAAUUCCGGGUGUAGCGGUGAAAUGCGUAGAUAUCCGGAGGAACACCGGUGGCGAAGGCGGCUUCCUGGACCGACACUGACGCUGAGGCGCGAAAGCUAGGGGAGCAAACGGG
rnacentral:rRNA from 1 species